ensembl:misc_RNA Metazoa_SRP Metazoan signal recognition particle RNA
GCCGGGCGUGGUGGCGGGUGCCUGUAGUCCCAGCUACUCAGGAGGCUGAGGCAGGAUAAUCACUUGAACCCGGGAGGCAGAGGUUGCAGUGAGCCAAGAUGGCACCACUGCACUCUAGCCUGGGCAACAGAGUGAGAUUUUGUCUCAA